UCAAAACGACUCUCGGCAACGGAUAUCUCGGCUCUCGCAUCGAUGAAGAACGUAGCGAAAUGCGAUACUUGGUGUGAAUUGCAGAAUCCCGUGAACCAUCGAGUCUUUGAACGCAAGUUGCGCCCGAUGCCUUCGGGCCGAGGGCACGCCUGCCUGGGCGUCAC
rnacentral:rRNA from 1 species